AGGACGAACGCUGGCGGCGUGCUUAACACAUGCAAGUCGAGCGGAAAGGCCCUUCGGGGUACUCGAGCGGCGAACGGGUGAGUAACACGUGAGUAAUCUGCCCUUAGCUCUGGGAUAGCUCCGGGAAACCGGGAUUAAUACCAGAUACGACCACUUUAGACAUCUGCCGUGGUGGAAAGAAUUUCGGCUAAGGAUGAGCUCGCGGCCUAUCAGCUUGUUGGUGGGGUAACGGCCUACCAAGGCGACGACGGGUAGCCGGCCUGAGAGGGCGACCGGCCACACUGGGACUGAGACACGGCCCAGACUCCUACGGGAGGCAGCAGUGGGGAAUAUUGCGCAAUGGGCGAAAGCCUGACGCAGCGACGCCGCGUGGGGGAUGAAGGCCUUCGGGUUGUAAACCCCGUUUCAGCAGGGACGAAGCGAAAGUGACGGUACCUGCAGAAGAAGCGCCGGCUAACGUACGCGCCAGCAGCCGC
rnacentral:rRNA from 1 species